UACGGAGGGGGCUAGCGUUGUUCGGAAUUACUGGGCGUAAAGCGCACGUAGGCGGCUUUGCAAGUUAGAGGUGAAAGCCCGGGGCUCAACUCCGGAAUUGCCUUUAAAACUGCAUCGCUAGAAUUGUGGAGAGGUAAGUGGAAUUCCGAGUGUAGAGGUGAAAUUCGUAGAUAUUCGGAAGAACACCAGUGGCGAAGGCGACUUACUGGACACAUAUUGACGCUGAGGUGCGAAAGCGUGGGGAGCGAACGGG
rnacentral:rRNA from 1 species